rnacentral:lncRNA from 1 species
AUCAGAUUCUACUGAUCUGCUUGUUUGCCUUAAAGAUACUGGUUACUUCAUUCUGUGUCGGGAUCUUGCUCACAUGGCAUGCAGUACUGUGUAGUGGAGGAAAAAAAACAAAAACCAAAAGCUUCAGAGUCCAACAGCCUUGAGUUGAAUUCCCAGCCAUACCCUGGACUUGCUGUGUAACUCUGGGCAAGUCUGAGAAGCUUCUGGCUCAGUGCAUAAUGUCAGCUUGUUUCUUUUCUGUCUCCUCCUGCCCGCUUGAUUGCAUUUAAAAGCCAAAAUAAUCACUGUUUCAUUUCUUCUGUUGUGUCACUUGCCCUGACUCAGGCAUUAGAGAGGCAUUUUGUUCUGAGGCCAUGUGUUUUGAGAAGGGGUGUUGUUUCCUCAGGAGCUAGUGACACCUGGUGAUUCGGCUGUGUAUAUCUCCUAGGAGGCAUGGAGGGAUCCAGAACCUGGACUGAAGAACCACCUAGAAAUAACUCAGCAGAAUUCUGAAAAUGAGGUCACGCUGGAUUUUCCAAUCCAUAGGCCCAAAGUGAACUCCCACGUGGAGUAGGAUGAAAACCCACAGCAUCUAGAUCUUCAAAUUCUGGAGAAAAAGAGAGUGUGAAAGACUGCUCAGUGGCUGGGGUGAGAGUCAAGUCUGGCCAGGUGCUAAUCUGGAGAAAAGCCAAGACCUGGAGCGAGCUGGAGUGGCAGGCCCUGGAGGAUGAGAAGGUGGCAGGAGUGCACUGGGGAUACAAAGAAACCAAGAUUUUUCUGGGAAUUCUCAGAGGCCUGGAUCCACGAAAAACUCCGCACCUGCCAUCGAAACCACCAGGUGUACCGGAUUAUGGCUGAGCAGCUGUGAGAACAUGGCUUCCUGUGGACCCUGGAGCAAUGUUGCUAUCGGUUCAAAAACCUCCUGACCGACUACUGCAAAGCCAGGAGCACCUACACACCAGGCACCAGUGUCUUCUAUGAUGAGAUGGAUGCCCUGUUGAGUCUUGGGGCACUUUCUAACACCUUUGAUGCCUUAGAGGUGGUAGGAGGCCUUCUUUGGGAUUGAGAGGAUUCCAAAGGGAACCAGGGCAUAGCACUAGAAGAUGUGGCGGGAUGGUAAUGAAAUAGUGGAGGAGUCUCAAGAGGAAUCCUGGAGGCUUGGUCCCCAGGCCUUGAGGUGGAAUCCCAGUGGCAACUCUCCCCCACAAUGGACCUCAGAGCAGUGGGAGCGACGCAGUCCUGUGGGAAGCAUUCAGGCUCAGAAUCAGGAGAUGUGAUUAUUGUCCUGGCUCUGUUAUGACUAAUUUGGGUCUGGAAUGGCCUCAUCGGGGGAAAAAUUGGUGACAACUUUAAGAAAUACUGUUUAUAUCCCGUCCUCAAAUAUUGCUUGACUCAACCCUCUACUGAACCAGUAGUCCAGGGUGGCUCACAAAGACCACUUUGAGGCUCUUGCUCUGCUCUUUAGCCAAGGAGUCUCCCUUCCUGCCUUCAGUAACAACAUUACAGGAAGAGAGGAGAGAAAGGUAGGAGUUAAAGAUCCAGUC